CCUACGGGUGGCAGCAGUGAGGAAUAUUGGUCAAUGGACGAGAGUCUGAACCAGCCAAGUAGCGUGAAGGAUGACUGCCCUAUGGGUUGUAAACUUCUUUUAUAAAGGAAUAAAACGAGGCACGUGUGCCUUUUUGCAUGUACUUUAUGAAUAAGGAUCGGCUAACUCCGUGCCAGCAGCCGCGGUAAUACGGAGGAUCCGAGCGUUAUCCGGAUUUAUUGGGUUUAAAGGGAGCGUAGAUGGGUUGUUAAGUCAGUUGUGAAAGGUUGCGGCUCAACCGUAAAAUUGCAAUUGAUACUGGCAGUCUUGAGUACAGUUGAGGUAGGCGGAAUUCGUGGUGUAGCGGUGAAAUGCUUAGAGAUCACGAAGAACCCCGAUUGCGAAGGCAGCUUACUAAACUGUGACUGACAUUGAUGCUCGAAAGUGUGGGUAUCAAACAGGAUUAGAUACCCUAGUAGUC
rnacentral:rRNA from 1 species